GCUCCGCUGGCCUGGCGCGCCAUCAGAGCCACUCAGAGCGCCUGGCGGAGGACACCCGGGGCCCCACAAUUAAUACCCCGCGCCGGCUCGCCGCGCCGGGAUUCCCGUGCCGGUUGUCCGGGAAGGAGGCGCUAGGUCAGCUCUGAGGCCGCAGAUAGCUUUACUCCCAACGCUGCGUCCAUCUGGAGUGGAGCAGACCUCCCCGCGUACUCUUGGAGAGCGAGCCGGGGCUGCGACCCUGAGGUCCAGCGCUGUCGUGCGUUCCCCAGGCCGCCGGGACCUUGCCACAGGCACUGGGGCGGCAGGUGGGCGAAGGCGGCUGCGCAGGAGAGCGAGUCUGCAGUGUGGGAGCUGGACACCUGCUCGUUUCCUUCUCUGCCCUGUGAGAUCAAGGGUGAAACUUGCUCAGAAGAGGAAUGAUUCAUAGUUGUUUGGCAGGAAACAGAGAGCUCAGGUAGAUAACUUGGAAGACCAGGAAGCUGAAGCAGCAACGAUGAGGGUUCUG